GAUGAACGCUGGCGGCGUGCCUAAUACAUGCAAGUCGAGCGAACAGACGAGGAGCUUGCUCCCCUGACGUUAGCGGCGGACGGGUGAGUAACACGUGGAUAACCUACCUAUAAGACUGGGAUAACUUCGGGAAACCGGAGCUAAUACCGGAUAACAUGUUGAACCGCAUGGUUCAACAGUGAAAGACGGUCUUGCUGUCACUUAUAGAUGGAUCCGCGCCGCAUUAGCUAGUUGGUAAGGUAACGGCUUACCAAGGCAACGAUGCGUAGCCGACCUGAGAGGGUGAUCGGCCACACUGGAACUGAGACACGGUCCAGACUCCUACGGGAGGCAGCAGUAGGGAAUCUUCCGCAAUGGGCGAAAUCCUGACGGAGCAACGCCGCGUGAGUGAAGAAGGUCUUCGGAUCGUAAAACUCUGUUAUUAGGGAAGAACAAAUGUGUAAGUAACUAUGCACGUCUUGACGGUACCUAAUCAGAAAGCCAGGGCUAACUACGUG
rnacentral:rRNA from 1 species